rnacentral:rRNA from 1 species
ACACAUGCAAGUCGAGGGGCAGCAUGGACCCAGCUUUGCUGGGUUUGAUGGCGACCGGCGCACGGGUGAGUAACGCGUAUCCAACCUGCCCUUUACUCCGGGAUAGUCUCCUGAAAGGGAGUUUAAUACCGGAUGUGUUUGUCUUUCCGCAUGGGAGCGACAAAUAAAGAUUAAUUGGUAAAGGAUGGGGAUGCGUCCCAUUAGCUUGUUGGCGGGGUAACGGCCCACCAAGGCGACGAUGGGUAGGGGUUCUGAGAGGAAGGUCCCCCACAUUGGAACUGAGACACGGUCCAAACUCCUACGGGAGGCAGCAGUGAGGAAUAUUGGUCAAUGGGCGGGAGCCUGAACCAGCCAAGUAGCGUGAAGGACGACGGCCCUACGGGUUGUAAACUUCUUUUAUAAGGGAAUAAAGUUCGCCACGUGUGGUGUCUUGUAUGUACCUUAUGAAUAAGCAUCGGCUAAUUCCGUGCCAGCAGCCGCGGUAAUACGGAAGAUGCGAGCGUUAUCCGGAUUUAUUGGGUUUAAAGGGAGCGUAGGCGGGCUUUUAAGUCAGCGGUCAAAUGUCGUGGCUCAACCAUGUCAAGCCGUUGAAACUGUAAGCCUUGAGUCUGCACAGGGCACAUGGAAUUCGUGGUGUAGCGGUGAAAUGCUUAGAUAUCACGAAGAACUCCGAUCGCGAAGGCAUUGUGCCGGGGCAUAACUGACGCUGAGGCUCGAA